rnacentral:lncRNA from 1 species
UGACUUCUGCCUUGGGUGCCCAGGUGGCUGGUUUGUCAUUGGUGAAAAGAGGAAAGGUUCAUGGAAAGGAUAGAGCAGGAUUGGAAGAAGCAUAGAAUCAUGGUUGGAGGUAACAUCAACCUGGAAAAUGUUUUUUUAUUUUCCUCCAUUUAUUUUGGGACAUGGAAUCCUUUUGUGAUAUUUUGCCCACAGAAAGGGCUACAGUCCUGAAAGGCCCUGAGGACUCCCAUAGGUGAUUUUGCAGGGCUUGCCUGCAAAAGGGCAUAUGGCCAAGGAGAGUGAGUGGGGCUGAAAUGUGGUCCCCUUGGGUGUCCCUGCCCAGGACUGGGACCACAUCUGCCUGCAGGGAGGGGCACCCUGCAGGAUAUUUCCCUGUACCUCUCUAGAGGUCCCUACUUUUCACCAUCCCAUGUGCCCUGGAUGGCUGGCCUGUGGGGACUUCAUUCCUUGCCCCCUCCCCAAGCUUCUGGCUGAGUUCCCCAACAGGAGGCAGUGGCAGGAAAUCAAAGGGAGGAAAGUUUAUUUCUCUCAGCUCACUCCCUGCUGGGUGACCCUCAACUGUCUCACUCACUUUACUGAAGGGCACGGUACCCACAGCACAUGGAAGGUCCCAGACCAGGGAUCAAAUCUGAGCAACCUAUGGCAUAGCAGCAGCAAUGCCAGAUCUUUAACCCACUGCACCAGGCUGGGGAAAAAACUGGCAUCUCCAUAGGAGCAAGCUGGGCCAUUAACCCACGGCACCACAGCAAGAACUCCCCUGUGCGGUUCUGAGUUUAGGGUUUUCUUCUCUUGUUCCUCAGGGCUGGGAUGGUGAUGACCCCCCACUGAUGCUAGCCCUAGGAUUCUGUGCCAUUCCCUGUGGGUUUCCCUAAAUCCUGCCUGUACCUUUGAAAAUGGUACUUCCAUUACACUGUCCUUAAGCAUCCAGUUUAAGAUUGUCAUCUGUUUUCUGCCAGAACUGGGAGUGAUUGGGAAUACUUUUCUAAUGAACACAAAGCAACGUCUCUGUUCACUUAACCACGAACCUGUGACCAUCGUAGGGGCUCCUGUUUCUCAUUCUUAAAAGGGUGUUAUGUUAGCAAGGGGCCCCCAUAGGUCCUGAAAAUCAGGCAGCCUUAUUCAUCUAGAAAGUGGGUGCCAAACCAGCUUUUCAGUAUGACCCAAAGUUUGAGUUGGAAAAGAGGAGGGAGGAUAGUCGUUGUCUGAGUCUAUUUGGGCUGUUCCAGCCAAGUACCAGAGCCCAGGUGGCUUAUAAACUCCAGACAUUUGUUUCUCACGGUUCUGGGGGCUGGAAGGCCAGGAUCAAGGUGCCAGUGUGCUUGGGUUGUGGUGAGGGCCCUCUUUCUGGCCCAUAGGUGGCACCGUCUAUCGUGUCCUCACAUGGUGUAGGGGGCUGAGAUCUCUGUGGGCACUAAUCCUCUCUGUGAGGGCUCUGCCCCCAUAACUAAGUGCAUCCCAAAUGCCCCACCUCCUAAUACUGUCAUCCUUAGGGGGUGGGAUUUCAACAUGUAAAUUUGGGGGGACGCAAACAUUCAGAAAAUAGAGGUGAGAAAGAGGGAAUGCUCAGAGUCAGCAGAGCCUGGAGAAAAGCGCUGUGUGGUGUCAGGGUACCCACAUCCAUCCAGCAAGCCUUGCCUGGGCGUUUGGAGUUGACACCUGGGAAUUGCUGUGGUGGGAAUGGAAUGGCAUGUGCCAAUCCGCACUCUGCCAAGAUGGACUUCUCUCCUUCUCCAAGUCGCUCCCUUUCCUACCAACCAUCCCCUUCUCCCACCCUGGCCAAAGAAACGCUUCUUGAGUUUCUGUAAUUUAAUGCUGGAAUCAAGUACAAGAAAAUACCUUCCUUAAAACUCUCCAGUAUAACAAGAUAUUGUAAAAGCUGUUGGUCUUCACUCGCCCAUACUAUAGAGGUAGAGAAAUUACUAUUUUUAUUUUAUUUUAUUUUAUUGCUUUUUUUUUAGAGCCACAUCCACGACGUAUGUAAGUUCCCAGGCUAGGGGUCGAGUUGGAGCUACAGCUGCCAGCCUACACCACAGCCACAGCAACACGGGAUCUGAGCCGAAUCUGCAAUCUACACCACAGCUCACAGCAAUGCUGGAUCCUUAACCCACUGGGCAGAGCCAGGUAUGGAACCCUCAUCCUCAUGGUUCCUAGUCAGGUUUGUUACCUGCUGAGCCAGGAAGGGAGCACCGAGAAACUACUAUUUUUAAAACGUGCACCUUUAGAGCCAGCUUUUUGUUUGUCCAUUUAUUCAUUAAUCCAACAGCUGUCAAAUGCCAUUUAAGACUAAAUCACUGUAUCUGUUCUCAAGUGGAGCCUCACCUGUUCCUAAAGGAAAGGGGAUGAGGCAUAUGCAGGGGGCACCUGCAAGGUGGACUCAUCCAAAGCCAGUCCAGGGACAGAUGGAGAAGAAGCAAGGUGGGGCCUGCAGCCAACCCUUCCCCUGACUGUGGCCAGGCUGAGUCCAGUAUUUAAGCUGCCUGGGGCAGGCUCACAUUCUCUCUCUGUGUUCACUUUGUGCUCUUACACUGACGAGGCUGUAUGCACAUGCGCCCUUGGACAGGCUUGCGUUCUCUCCCUUGUUCCUAUUUACUUUCCUCUUACACUGCACGGUGCCGCAUGCACAGAGUGCACUGUGCUGGAGGCCAGUGUGUUGUGCAAUAAAUACUUGACCCGCUGCUCCUACGAAAGUCUUAGGUCUUGCAAAUAUGAAGCAACAGGUCAAAGGAGCUGCUGAGAAAUCUUUGGAUUUGUUCUUGGUCCUUUCCGUACUCAGGAACUAUGGGACGACUUGUCUCACCAGCAGGACUGAGAAAGAGGGCCUGUUGGUUCAUAUUCUUUCUUCCUCAGAUCCUUUCCAGGCUUUGGAUGUGAGGCGCUGUGCUGCUUUAGGGUUGCUGAGCUACAGGGCAGCAUUCAAGAGCCUCCGGCAUUUCAAAUUUAUUGCUUAACUGUCUGGAAUCCCUCUUCCAGGAAGUUAUCCAUCUUCCGAGCAGCAUAUCUGAAAGUAAGUUUAAGGAAGAUCAUUGCAGUUUGAUGUUCUGGUGAGAUCCCCAGUAUCAAGGCUGUCUUACCCAAGGGAUCAGUUGAUAAGGGAUCAGAAAUUGCUCCCGUUUGCCUGCCUUCCCAGGCCUUUGCUAAUGUCCUCAGAGCCAGGAGUGAGCACAGUGACAUAGCCUCAGAAAGCGUUAGCCCUCUGAUCUGCUUGUGUUUUUUUGUACACCUAGCUACUGAUGCUUACACUGAAGUGGUGGGAUCUCCCCCACCUCGUCCUCCACCCUCCCCCUCCACCACAAUUGAAUGAGAGAGCCUUUAGAAUUUCGAUUAAGAUCUGCUUUCUAAAAUCUUUUAUAUUUUUCUUUUUACUGUCUCCUUACAUUGUUGUUUUCCUCCCGUUCCUCCCCUACUUCAUUCAUUCAUUCGUCAAUUGUAUUCGCUCAUUGCUUUGUAUCUGGAGCCUGAACUUAAGCUAGUUAACACCCCUCCUGCCAUAAGGAUUUAGAGGUAAGUCUGGGAAUGCCUGGAUGGUUUGUAGGGUGGGCCCCCCAUGGGUCUGUGCCCCCGAAGGACAGGAACCUCCUAGGAAAGAGUCGCUCCACAGGAGGCGAGAGUGGAGAACACCUACUAAGUUCAGUUUCAGGGGACCAGGUUUAAAGUGGGGUUCAGGGUGGUCCUGGUGGAUUUUGGAAGCAGCAUACUGCCUGUCACUCAGCUGCCUUCCGACCUAGCUCAUGGGGACUUGUGCCUGAGCCCUAAGGUGAGGGCAUUGGAAUAAAAGAGCAAGUAAAAACUUAACUAGGUCUUUACUCAAACAUCCGAAGGUAACAGAAAGCAGCAGCACAGCAGCCCAGGGUCAGGCAGCUGUCAGCAUUCCUUACCCUGGGCAGGUGCAGCCUUGGAACAGACAGUGGUGGCUACCAUCGUGGCGGGCAUCCCCCCAAAGGCUCCUCUUGGUGUCAGCAGCAAUGGAGAGGUCAGCCCGGUGGACAUAGGCAGGUAAGGACGAAGGUGGCCGGUGCCAUGUGUAAUAGCAGGGCCCACGUGCUCAGUAUCUGUAAAAUAACCUAAUUGCUUAAGACUCCUAGACUUCAGGGAUAAUCUUGAUGUGAGGAUGUGGGGUUGGAGCAGCCACAGAGUGCAUCUGGGUAAAUCCGAAGAACAUUGUUUUUUGUGUCUCUUAUUAAUGAAGUUCCUGUUUCUCUCCAAGCAGCUGAGUUUGGGGGACACAACUGUGACACAUUCCUUAAAUCCAAUUUAGUUGCAAACAGGAUUUGCAGGAGCUUUGCAUGAAGGCUGGGGAUAUAAAGGGGCCAAUUGUUUAAAAAGAAGGUGAAAGAGCCACAGUCAAGAUAUAAAACCUGGAAGGAAGGAAGAAGUGAGGUGUUGCACUGGAAAACCUAGUCAAGCAAAUGUUCCUGUUGGAUGAGAAACCCCUGUGUCUUUGGAGCUUAAUUCCUGAGAAUGCAAACUCUAUGCCUAGUCAAAUCCCAACCAAGAUGAAAUUCAGUUUUCAGGCAGAGGUGCCUGUUUUUCCCUAAUGUGUUACUGCGCCCAAACAGGUUGGUUCUACAAUUCUUUGUGGUUAGAGAGCUACUUGGGGUCCUUGUAGUUUGAGUAUAUUGUUGGAAAAUUUGCUUAUCUGCCCAGCGCCACCAAGAACCCUAAAAUGUGAUAGACCGAGUGCCAGGCUGGGGGGUGGAGUCACACAAAUGACUGGAAACACCCCAUGUUCGUAAGCCAUGCUUGUACCUCCCCAUCUCCCUUCAUCCUCAUGGUGCUGCAGGGAGACGAGGAGGCAGGUACCAUGAUCCCCACUGUCCAGAUGAGGAAACCAUGAGGCACAGAGAGCCGUGACCUGCCCAAGGUCACACACAGGUGCAGGCUUUGUGUUUGAACAUUGGCCCCCAGUCUACGUCUUGGCUGCUUAGGCCCCUGCCUAGCCCUAUGCCUGGAGUGGUAACUCACCCUGAAUUUUUUUUAGAGGCAUUCUAGAAGAUUCUGACAUUCAUCCAGGUUUGAGAGCUUUGUGCCCCUAAACUGUCUGUCUCAGCCUGAAGGCUCAGUGGGUGAAUGGGUUAAAUAUAGGAACCUAAUUGCUAAACGUGGUUAGAGGGUAAAAAGAAGUGGUCCCUGGACAAGGAGAUGCCGUAUGAUGGCACAUUAGGGCAGGUAGCAAAGAAAUGGCAGUUCUUUUCUUUUUUUGCUUUUUAGGGCCACUCUGAGGCCUAUGGAGGUUCCCAGGCUAGGGAUCCAAUCAGAGCUACAGCUGCUGGCCUAUAGCACAGCUGCAGCAACACCAGUUCUGAGCAAGCCAUGUCUGUGACCUACACCAUAGCUCACAGCAACACUGGAUCCUUAACCCACUGAGCGAGGCCAGGGAUCGAACCUGCAUCCUCAUGGAUACUAGUCAGGUUCGUUAAUCGCUGAGCCACAACGGGAGCUCCGUUUUUUACUUAAUCUGUUUAGAUGUUUCGAAUGUGCCCAAAGUAAAAUCUUUCCUAUAGACAAGGCCAAGGGAAGGACUGGGACUAGGUGGACCCUCAUGGAUCCACCCCACCAACAACUACGAUCCAAAUUAAAAUGUCCAGAGUGGACAGAACUGAUCCCCCUGUGGGGUUGGGAGUGUCUUGAGAGCACUGGGACGCAGUUCCAGCCCUGGCCCAGCACAGCGGACUAAGGAUCUGGUGUUGCCACACCUGAGGCUUUGGUCACACCUAACGGCUGGGAUCUCAGCCCUGGCCCAGGCACUCUGUAUGCCGCAGGGCGGCCAAAAAGAAAAACAAAACAAAACAGAAUAGGUAGAGUAGAAAAGAGCCCAUAUCUCUCUGGGCAAGCACACACACACACACACACACACACAGUCCUCUUCUCUCUUCAGCAUAGAAAGGCCUGAGAAAUUGCAAGCUGACCUGUGGUCGCCUUUGGCCCAUUAGAAAUUCAAAUCUGCUGUAAUUAGACAUCUCCAAGGAUUUCCAAGGCCCAGAGUGUUAUAGAAGCUUAGAGCCAAAAGUAUUCCCAGGGCGACAGAACAGAGGGCGAGACAGUAGACAGAUUUGAGGGCAGAAAUCAGCUUAGGUAUUUGAGACACUACAGAGACCUGCCUGGGAAAAUAAAAGAAUAACGUUUAUUAAGACCUUAUACGUACCUAAUCCUGUGCUCUCCUGUGCACCUCAUUUCGUUCUCAAGUAGCUCUAGGGGUAGGUGUUUUAGUUCUGUUUCACAAGUAAGGAAACCAAGGCUUAGACAGGGUGGUGUUUCUCCAAGGUGACCCAGACAGUAAAAAACAAAC